rnacentral:rRNA from 1 species
AUUGAACGCUGGCGGCAGGCCUAACACAUGCAAGUCGAACGGUAACAGGAAGAAGCUUGCUUCUUUGCUGACGAGUGGCGGACGGGUGAGUAAUGUCUGGGAAACUGCCUGAUGGAGGGGGAUAACUCCUGGAAACGGUAGCUAAUACCGCAUAACGUCGCAAGACCAAAGAGGGGGACCUUCGGGCCUCUUGCCAUUGGAUGUGCCCAGAUGGGAUUAGCUAGUAGGUGGGGUAACGGCUCACCUAGGCGACGAUCCCUAGCUGGUCUGAGAGGAUGACCAGCCACACUGGAACUGAGACACGGUCCAGACUCCUACGGGAGGCAGCAGUGGGGAAUAUUGCACAAUGGGCGCAAGCCUGAUGCAGCCAUGCCGCGUGUAUGAAGAAGGCCUUCGGGUUGUAAAGUACUUUCAGCGGGGAGGAAGGGAGUAAAGUUAAUACCUUUGCUCAUUGACGUUACCCGCAGAAGAAGCACCGGCUAACUCCGUG